rnacentral:rRNA from 1 species
AUGGGGCCAAAACAGUGGAAGAAGAUCAACAAGAAAUCUCCUUCAGCUGACAAGCAGGGUUGCAGGGUGGUCAAACUGUUGGCUGGAGCAAGAGAGGUCGUUGCUUCAAUGCUUCAGUCAUCCACGCGGUUCCUACUGAAGCAAAUUGUGAUGCCGAGUUAUAACAAGUGGUAUCUCGUCUCCAAGAAGUUUCAAAAGAACAGACUUCCAUGCAACAAGGAGCAAUUACUGAAACUGGAGUUUCGUUAUUCUUGA